AAUAGCAGAAAAGAAAAGGAAAAUCAACUGGACAGAAGAAGAAAGAGAGAUUUUAAUAGAACAGUGCACCAGCGAAACUGGCCGGAAGAUCAACCUAAAAUUUAGCAACGAAAUAUCGACAAAAGAUAAAGCCAUUUUCUGGGGAAAGACAGCAGAAAGAUAUCCUCGAAUGACCAAAUUCCGUGGGGGAUUAACAGCAUAUCAAUGUGUCAGCGCACUGCUGAUGAAGUGAAAAAGAAAUGGAUAGACACAAAGUCUAGUGCAAAGAAGAAGGCACAAUCUAUGAGCUGGGCAGAACAGGCGGCGGGCCCUAUUCAGGUGGUCUGACAAACCUGGAAGAGUAGUAUUUAUG